AUGAAGCACAACAACGACGGGCUGUACGUGUGGGAGUCCCAGGCCGGUAGCUCCUUCACCUUCACUCGUGAUACGUUUGGGGAGCAGCUCAGCAGGGGUACCAAGAUGGUCCUCUACCUCAAGGACGACUAG
rnacentral:rRNA from 1 species